CGUUCUCAGUUCGGAUUGGAGUCUGCAACUCGACUCCAUGAAGCUGGAUUCGCUAGUAAUCGCGCAUCAGCCAUGGCGCGGUGAAUACGUUCCCGGGGCCUUUGUACACACCGCCCGUCAAGCCAUGGGAGUCGGGAGUGCCUGAAGUUCGUGACCGUCACAGGAGCGACCUAAGGCAAGACCGAUGACUGGGGCUAAGUCGUAACAAGGUAUC
rnacentral:rRNA from 1 species